AUACUUAGGUGGCAGGAGGAGAUACCACGAUCACGAAGGUGGUUUUCCCAGGGCGAGGCUUAUCCAUUGCACUCCAGAUGUGCUGACCCCUGCAAUUUCCCCAGAUAUGGGAAACUCAACUGCAUAAUUUGUGGUAGUGGGGGACUGCGAUCGUGCUCUCCCCUG
ensembl:snRNA U1 U1 spliceosomal RNA